CUACGUGCCAGCAGCCGCGGUAAUACGUAGGGUGCGAGCGUUAAUCGGAAUUACUGGGCGUAAAGCGAGCACAGACGGUUACUUAAGCAGGAUGUGAAAUCCCCGGGCUCAACCUGGGAACUGCGUUCUGAACUGGGUGACUAGAGUGUGUCAGAGGGAGGUAGAAUUCCACGUGUAGCAGUGAAAUGCGUAGAGAUGUGGAGGAAUACCGAUGGCGAAGGCAGCCUCCUGGGAUAACACUGACGUUCAUGCUCGAAAGCGUGGGUAGCAAACAGGAUUAGAUACCCUGGUAGUCCACGCCCUAAACGAUGUCAAUUAGCUGUUGGGCAACUUGAUUGCUUAGUAGCGUAGCUAACGCGUGAAAUUGACCGCCUGGGGAGUACGGUCGCAAGAUUAAAACUCAAAGGAAUUGACGGGGACCCGCACAAGCGGUGGAUGAUGUGGAUUAAUUCGAUGCAACGCGAAGAACCUUACCUGGUCUUGACAU
rnacentral:rRNA from 1 species